UUUUUUUGGUUUAAUGUUCAAAUUUCAUUUUACAAUUAUUGAACUUUAAUUCAUUACAUUUCUUAAGUAUAAGUUUUGUGAUUAUACUUUAUCCUAGUUUAGAUUUCUGUAACUAUUAGAGGAACAUUAGAGGAACAAAAGGAACAAAAGGAACAAAAGGAAAAAGAACGAAAAGAACAGUACGUAACGGAAUAAACAAUUUUUGAGAAAUGAAA
rnacentral:lncRNA from 1 species